UUAUGCGUUGUUGGGUAGGGGAGCGUUCUGUAAGCCUGUGAAGGUGGCCUGUGAGGGUUGCUGGAGGUAUCAGAAGUGCGAAUGCUGACAUAAGUAACGAUAAAGCGGGUGAAAAGCCCGCUCGCCGGAAGACCAAGGGUUCCUGUCCAACGUUAAUCGGGGCAGGGUGAGUCGACCCCUAAGGCGAGGCCGAAAGGCGUAGUCGAUGGGAAACGGGUUAAUAUUCCCGUACUUGGUGUUACUGCGAAGGGGGGACGGAGAAGGCUAUGUUGGCCGGGCGACGGUUGUCCCGGUUUAAGCGUGUAGGCUGGUUUUCCAGGCAAAUCCGGAAAAUCAAGGCUGAGGCGUGACGACGAGGCACUACGGUGCUGAAGCAACAAAUGCCCUGCUUCCAGGAAAAGCCUCUAAGCAUCAGGUAACAUCAAAUCGUACCCCAAACCGACACAGGUGGUCAGGUAGAGAAUACCAAGGCGCUUGAGAGAACUCGGGUGAAGGAACUAGGCAAAAUGGUGCCGUAACUUCGGGAGAAGGCACGCUGACACGUAGGUGAAGUGAUUUACUCAUGGAGCUGAAGUCAGUCGAAGAUACCAGCUGGCUGCAACUGUUUAUUAAAAACACAGCACUGUGCAAACACGAAAGUGGACGUAUACGGUGUGACGCCUGCCCGGUGCCGGAAGGUUAAUUGAUGGGGUCAGCGCAAGCGAAGCUCCUGAUCGAAGCCCCGGUAAACGGCGGCCGUAACUAUAACGGUCCUAAGGUAGCGAAAUUCCUUGUCGGGUAAGUUCCGACCUGCACGAAUGGCGUAAUGAUGGCCAGGCUGUCUCCACCCGAGACUCAGUGAAAUUGAACUCGCUGUGAAGAUGCAGUGUACCCGCGGCAAGACGGAAAGACCCCGUGAACCUUUACUAUAGCUUGACACUGAACAUUGAGCCUUGAUGUGUAG
rnacentral:rRNA from 1 species